rnacentral:rRNA from 1 species
GACGAACGCUGGCGGCGUGCUUAACACAUGCAAGUCGAACGAGUGGCGAACGGGUGAGUAAUACGUGAGUAACCUGCCCUCCUUUUUGGGAUAAGCCUUGGAAAAGGGGUCUAAUACCGGAUACAGGGGGAUGGGGGGGCGGCCUAUCAGCUUGUUGGGGGGGUAAUGGCUACCAAGGCGCGACUGGUAGCCGGCCUGAGAGGGUGUACGGGCACGUUGGGCCUGAGAUACGGCCCAGCGGCGUACGGGAGGCAGCAGUCGCGAAUAUUGCACACUGGGCGGAAGCCUGAUGCAGCGACGCCGCGUGGGGGAUGAAGGCCUUCGGGUUGUAAACUCCUUGCUACAGGGACGCGGUACCUGUAUAAGAAGCACCGGCUAACUACGUGCCAGCAGCCGCGGUAAUUC